CCUACGGGAGGCAGCAGUGAGGAAUAUUGGUCAAUGGGCGAGAGCCUGAACCAGCGAAGUCGCGUGAGGGAGUACUGCUCUCUGGGUUGUAAACCUCUUUUGUCGGGGAGCAAAAGCCGGACGUGUCCGGCUGUGAGAGUACCCGAAGCAAAAGCAUCGGCUAACCCCGUGCCAGCAGCCGCGGUACUACGGCGGAAGCGAGCGUUAUCCGGAUUAAUUGGGUUAAAAGGGUGCGCAGGGGGAUUGUUAAGUCAGCGGUAAAAUCGUGGGGCUCAACCCCAUCCAGCCGUGGAAACUGGGGAUCUAGAGUGUGCGAGAGGUAUGCGGAAUGCGUGGUGUAGCGGUGAAAUGCAUAGAUAUCACGCAGAACCCCGAUUGCGAAGGCAGCAUACCGGUGCACAACUGACGCUCAGGCACGAAAGCGUGGGUAUCGAACAGGAUUAGAUACCCGGGUAGUC
rnacentral:rRNA from 1 species